rnacentral:tRNA from 1 species
GGGCUCGUGGUGUAGCUGGUGAACACACCUAGAUUGUCAACUAGAGAGAUGCCGGUUCGACUCCGGUCGAGUCCA